rnacentral:rRNA from 1 species
AACGCGAAGAACCUUACCUACCCUUGACAUGUCAGGAAUCCCGAAGAGAUUUGGGAGUGCCGCAAGGAACCUGAACACAGGUGCUGCAUGGCUGUCGUCAGCUCGUGUCGUGAGAUGUUGGGUUAAGUCCCGCAACGAGCGCAACCCUUGCCAUUAGUUGCUACGAAAGGGCACUCUAAUGGGACUGCCGGUGACAAACCGGAGGAAGGUGGGGAUGACGUCAAGUCCUCAUGGCCCUUAUAGGUGGGGCUACACACGUCAUACAAUGGCUGGUACAGAGGGUUGCCAACCCGCGAGGGGGAGCUAAUCCCAUAAAGCCAGUCGUAGUCCGGAUCGCAGUCUGCAACUCGACUGCGUGAAGUCGGAAUCGCUAGUAAUCGCGGAUCAGAAUGUCGCGGUGAAUACGUUCCCGGGUCUUGUACACACCG